GAUAAACGAUGGGGCGUAUGUACGGUAGGAUAUAAACGUGAUUAUGUGAGAGGUGCGCGUGUGAGUAUGUGGUGCGAGAAGCGUGGGAUUACUCCCCAACUCUAUAAUACUCUCCAGGAGAAUUAUUUCUCCCACUUUCCUCUCUCAUUUCUCUCGGCAGUCUCUUUCUUUUCUCCUCUCGUCCGAAUUCUUCUCUCUCACUCUCUCAACCAAUAAUUCACCAAAGCCACUUGAAAUCUAUACAAACCCACCGCCAAUUUACCUACAAACCCACCGCCAAUUUACCUUCCAUCUUUGUAAUUGAGCUUGAAUUUCGUGGGUCUUGCUUGAAGGAGGAGUAUUUGGUUGAAUUUGAAGAUUUGGCCAUCAAGGGCUUGAUUAAUCUUGGGGUUUUGCUCUCCAAACUUGAGGUACAACACAGGGGCAGUGACAUGACGUGCAUGGAGUGCAUGACUGGCGUCUUUGUUUUAAAAGCUAUUUUCAGGAGCUAUCUAUAUGUUUGUAAAAUAAAUUGUAUUGUAUCGUACUAUAAUGCCUAAUUUGGAACGUUGUAUUUGUGGACAAGUUUGUGGAAUUGGGUACCGUAUUGUAUUUUGGGGUAUUGUAUGUACUAUUGUGAGGAUUUUGUAUUUCAAAUGGUAUUGUUAUUUAUGUUGAAAAUCAAGGGCGUGACAUUUCUUUUUUCCCUUGAACAACAAUAGAUUUUUGUUUACUAAA